UACGUAGGGACCAAGCGUUGUUCGGAUUUACUGGGCGUAAAGGGCGCGUAGGCGGCGUGGUAAGUCACUUGUGAAAUCUCUGAGCUUAACUCAGAAACGGUCAAGUGAUACUGCUGUGCUAGAGUGCGGAAGGGGCAAUCGGAAUUCUUGGUGUAGCGGUGAAAUGCGCAGAUAUCAGGAGGAACACCGAUGGCGAAGGCAGGUCUCUGGCCGAUACUGACGCUGGAGGAGCGAAAGCGUGGGGAGCGAACAGG
rnacentral:rRNA from 1 species